UACAGAGGGUGCGAGCGUUAAUCGGAAUUACUGGGCGUAAAGCGUGCGUAGACGGUAGCGUAAGUCGGGUGUGAAAGCCCCGGGCUCAACCUGGGAAUUGCAUUCGAGACUGCUCUGCUAGGGUGCGGAAGAGGGAAGCGGAAUUUCCGGUGUAGCGGUGAAAUGCGUAGAUAUCGGAAGGAACACCAGUGGCGAAAGCGGCUUCCUGGUCCAGCACCGACGUUCAGGCACGAAAGCGUGGGGAGCAAACAGG
rnacentral:rRNA from 1 species